AAUCAACGCUGGCGGCGUGCCUCAGACAUGCAAGUCGAACGCGAAAUUUCCCUUCGGGGAGAAAGUAGAGUGGCGCACGGGUGAGUAACACGUAGGUAAUCUACCUUCGGAUGGGGAAUAACAGUCGGAAACGGCUGCUAAUACCGCAUAAUGCAGCGGCACCUAAUGGUGACAGUUGUUAAAGCGGGGGAUCGAAAGACCUCGCGUCUGAAGAGGAGCCUGCGGCGGAUUAGCUAGUUGGUAAGGUAAUGGCUUACCAAGGCUACGAUCCGUAACCGGCCUGAGAGGGCGGUCGGUCACACUGACACUGACAUACGGGUCAGACUCCUACGGGAGGCAGCAGUCGGGAAUUUUGGGCAAUGGGCGAAAGCCUGACCCAGCAACGCCGCGUGAAGGAUGAAAUCCCUCGGGAUGUAAACUUCGCAAGAAUGAGAAGAAUAAGUAGGGGACAAUACCCCUAUGAUGACGGUAUCAUUUGUAAGCUCCGGCUAACUCCGUGCCAGCCGCC
rnacentral:rRNA from 1 species